AGUGAACGCUGGCGGUAGGCCUAACACAUGCAAGUCGAACGGCAGCACAGUAAGGGCUUGCUCUUACGGGUGGCGAGUGGCGGACGGGUGAGGAAUACAUCGGAAUCUACUUUUUCGUGGGGGAUAACGUAGGGAAACUUACGCUAAUACCGCAUACGACCUACGGGUGAAAGCAGGGGAUCUUCGGACCUUGCGCGAUUGAAUGAGCCGAUGUCGGAUUAGCUAGUUGGCGGGGUAAAGGCCCACCAAGGCGACGAUCCGUAGCUGGUCUGAGAGGAUGAUCAGCCACACUGGAACUGAGACACGGUCCAGACUCCUACGGGAGGCAGCAGUGGGGAAUAUUGGACAAAGGGCGCAAGCCUGAUCCGGCCAUACCGCGUGGGUGAAGAAGGCCUUCGGGUUGUAAAGCCCUUUUGUUGGGAAAGAAAAGCAGCAGGUUAAUACCCCGCUGUUCUGACGGUACCCAAAGAAUAAGCACCGGCUAACUUCGUG
rnacentral:rRNA from 1 species